GCGGAUGGCUGGAUGAUCGCGGGCAGGGGCAACCCCGCACGAGGAAAGUCCGGACUCCACAAAGCACGGUGCCGGGUAACGCCCGGCUGGGGCAACCCAAGGGAUAGCGCCACAGAGAACAGACCGCCGCUGUCCGCAGCGGCAAGGGUGAAACGGUGGGGCAAGAGCCCACCGCGGGACUGGCAACAGGACCGGCACGGCAAGCCCCACCGGGAGCAAUGCCAAAUAGGGGCCUCGCGCGGCGUGUGAUCCGACAGGAUAUCCGCCACAGGGAUGCUUGAACCCGAGAGGCCCGGGUUGGCAGCUGGAGGCGCGUCGGUAACGGCGGGUCAAGAGGAAUGGUCAUCCAUCCCAUGGCAACAUGGGGGGACAGAAUCCGGCUUACAGGCCAUCCGCGCAU
rnacentral:RNase_P_RNA from 1 species